rnacentral:rRNA from 1 species
GACGAACGCUGGCGGCGUGCUUAACACAUGCAAGUCGAACGGAAAGGCCCUGCUUUUGUGGGGUGCUCGAGUGGCGAACGGGUGAGUAACAAGUGAGUAACCUGCUCUUGACUUUGGGAUAACUUCAGGAAACUGGGGCUACUACCGGAUAGGAGCUCCUGCUGCAUGGUGGGGGUUGGAAAGUUUCGGCGGUUGGGGAUGGACUCGCGGCUUAUCAGCUUGUUGGUGGGGUAGUGGCUUACCAAGGCCUUGACGGGUAGCCGGCCUGAGAGGGUGACCGGCCACAUUGGGACUAAGAUACGGCCCAGACUCCAACGGGAGGCAGCAGUGGGGAAUAUUGCACAAUGGGCGGAAGCCUGAUGCAGCAACGCCGCGUGCGGGAUGACGGCCUGCGGGUUGUAAACCGCUUUAGCCUGUGACGAAGCGUGAGUGACGGUAAUGAGUAAAGAAGCACCGGCUAACUACGUG